CACUAAAUUCUGCCGUUGCCUGGAAUUGCGCGAUCGGAUGGUGGGGGUCAGGGCUUACACAACAAGUACUGCUCAGCAUGAGCGCUGAUCCCAAAAAUCCAUCCAUUCAAAGGGUUCGCAUCAAGUUUUAAAAAGAGCUGUGACUUGUUUUUAGAGGCGAAACUCCAGUUAUAUGGCUUUAGGGCCAUGACGUUUUGGUCACCAUGCCUUUGCCAGGUAGAAUUUCGAGCUUCCCGAUUUUUUCUGCCCAAAAUGCUUUGACAAGAACCGGUCUCCUGAAACAAGUCGGCGAAACCAAGGAACACGGAAACUUUGACGCGCCACAGGCCGUUAACUCGAAUUUUACAAUUCUCACCUGCCUUUCAUCUGGCCGUAUUGUGGCAUCUUAACUGUGUAGGCUGUCACCUUCCAAUGACACAAAAUGCCUAACUACUCGUAGAAUUUCACCUGCCCAAGGGAAACAAUGUUGAAACGGAGGAAUAUUUGUUAAAACUGUUCGGUCUUAUUUUUCGAUGGUAAAGGUGAGCAGGUGGUGAUGGUAUAUACCGAUAAUGAAGGCCUCAGUGUAUGUUUUUUAAGACGGGCUCUGCAUGUGUUGGUCAUGUGGUGCGCGCAGGUGUUUCUUGAAUAGGGACGAGGCCGUUGGUGUGCCGACUCGUAUAUAUGUCUGGCGUGCGCUCACUAAACUGAUCAACGUUACACCUUAUCUAUGCUAUCAAUUUAACCUGAUUAGUUAGCAAAAGAAAAAUGCGAUAUGACUCCUAUCCACGUCUAAAUUGAACCUUUACUGAUCUUUUCACAGAAACGAGGUGGCAUGCUGCAGUCGGUCAGACACCAUUCUGAGAUGCGAGCCCAAGUGUUUCCGUUUGCAGCAUGUGUGGUGCGGCCGCUGUGUCUGCAUAUCAAAAGAACCCUUCUUAUAGCAGCGUCGGGACAAAAAUUCACACGACCAAAAUGCAACAAGAAAAAACUCAAAGACUUAGACAAAACUCUUUCACGUUGAAUUGUAUUUGUAAGACUCGUCCUUCUCCCUUUUUCCGUACAAGUGGGAGACCAAAAGGCAACAGUUUGCCUUUUUUCUCUGUUGUUCACUUAGUCUUUUGCCUUUUUGUCUUUCACCCCUGUGUCAUUUUCAAUUUGACUUGUAUCUUUUUGACUUUUUCCACUCCACUUUAUGGUAGUCGACCUUUUGUUUUCUUAGUUCUUGACUUGAAGUUCUUUGUCCGCUAGUCAUCCUUCCUCCGGUCGCCUGGCUUACUUCCCAGGAAAUAUUCCUCAAGUAUGCUUUGACCCUGUCCAAACCUUCGCUUAUUGAACCGUUCCUAUGCCAUUGCUGCUUACCGCUGACUAAGUCCGCUCGACAGCUGAACUUAAACUGAGGUGUCUGUUGCCACAUCUGCCUCUCACCCUUCAUUCUUCUGCCAUGAUCCUAUGCAAAUAAGCACCGUGUUUUGUAUUUUGUCCGCAGUGAACAUGACAUCCUUCCGUUUCAGAACCCUGACCAUGGCUGCCUCAUCAGAUAUGACUCCGCUGAAUCAACACAUCGAGCCGUUCGACCCCGACUCGAGCUCGUGGGCAGAGUGGGAGGAGCGCCUAGAGCUGUUCUUCGAGUACAGCGGCAUCACUGACGAGAGGAAGAAAAAAGUCUCCUUCCUGACGGCAUGUGGCAGAAAGGCAUACGCCGUUCUUCGCAGUUUGAUUGCACCUCGGAAGCCGAUGGACGUACCUCUUGCAGAGUUGCUUCUGGUUAUGCAAGGUCAGGAGGAUUCUGACCUUUCAGUCACCAUCAGCCGGCGCAAGUUCGGCUCGCGCGUCCGUCGCGCUGGCCAACAAGUCGCUGACUACGCUGCUGUUCUCCGCCAAAAUGCCAUCGACUGCUGUUUUGGAGAUACCCUCGGGGUCAGGCUGCUAGAACAGCUCAUCUUCGGAAUAGCAGAUGAUCAAAUGCAAAGAAGACUGUUGUCUGAGAAGAAUCUAAGUUUCAGCAGCGCCGUUGCCAUUUGCCGCACUAUGGAAGCGUCCAACUCAGAUGAUGAAGUGACGACCAGUGAUCAUUCAUCCGAGAUCACAACUCGGCCAGACUCGGAGAGCACCAACUGGACGUGCAAUGAGGGCGAGAUGGGGCUGGAGGGCCUGUCAGCCGAGCUGGACGCCUCGAGGAAGGCGUGUGCCAACUACAGUAGCGAAUUACUCCGAGUGAAGGCUGCAUAUGAGGAGUCUCAGCGGCAGCUCGCCUCCAUCCGCCGCGAGAACAAGGUCCUGUCCGGCAAGAACGAGGACAUCACGGACCAGAUCGGGGAGGACGUCGGCAACCCAGGUCCCAACCGAACGCUCCAGCAGACCUUCUCGGCCAUGGAAUGGCUGCUGGAGGAGGCCAAGAACUGCGUCGAGGCCGAGCGCUUCAAGAGAUUAGAGCAGAACAUCAACGAGCUGGAGACCGCCCUCAACACGGCCAACGCGUCGAUUGCCGGAGAACAGGAGGCGGUGCGGCGCUACCAGGCCGAGAUCGGCGAAACAACGGCGCUCCUGAAGGAGGAGGUCCGGGUGAAGACCGAGCUCCAGGCGCAGUUGGACGCCUCAGAACGAGCCAGGAACGCUCUUGGCGUCCAGCUAGAGGAGAGCAGAGCUCUGCUGGAGCAGGCCGAAAGCAGCCGGCACCAGGCGGAGCUGGACCUGGCCAGUAGCAAGGGCAAGCUGUCUGCAAUGCAGGCCACCAGCCAUGCAGCCAGCAUCGCCAGGCAAGAGCUUGAGAGUGAGGUGCAGUCACUCCGAGCUGAGCUCGAAAGAGCUCUGUGCCGGGCUGCUGAAAGCCGGCUGGCUGACGAGCGGCGCGUGGAACGGAAACGGUCUAUGGCGCUAAAAAAGCGGUGCAAGUUCCUCGAGGCGCAGUUCAAGAUACAGGUGGGUGUCUCCGACAGCCUCUGUCGUAAAGUGACUCGGAUCAAACUGUCACCAGGUCAGCAUUCCGGUGAAGUCAGUAAGGUACAAGGAUACUUUGGGUCGGUUAUCAAUAAGCAAUGGCUAUGGUGAUGAACGGUUAUCAAUAAGCAAGUAAAUGGUUGUGAUGGUUAUCAUAGUUAUGGUUAUGGUCAUGGUUACCAAAAAGCAGGUAAACUCUUGCGAAGGCGGUGUGACCUUGAAUGAAGUGUGGCUGUCGUAUAUACGGGCAAACUGUUGAACUGACCGCAAAUCAUGACACAUAAGGUGAAAGCGUCAAAUCACCUGCCAGUGAUGUUGAAAACCAAUUUGAAUACCGUGACAGGUUUGCAUCAUUGCAUGGGAGAAAUGGGACGUCCCAAGAACGUGACACAAAUUGUGCAGAGACUGACUUCUAGCACGUGAGGAGUCAGGAAGAAGACAAAAGUAUCCAAGUAGGAGGCGGCGAAAUCGUUUUGUAGCCGACAUUUUGCUACCAUUACAAUGAAUGUGUAUGACGUUACGCACACCUGGACUUCAUGAUAGGUGGACUCAGAAUUGAUUGCCGCGUCGGCCAUCUUUCCGUUGAGUUGAGGGAAAUCGUUUUACCUUUGUAAUUUCACUGAAACUCGGACUGGAUUUGAGUCAACGAACCGCAGUUUCAGGUCUAAGUCAAGUCUACAAAUUGGUUGUUCAGUUUGCAUGAUAGUGUUGGCACAGAGAUGCCUGAAUGGUUAGGGAGUUGAAAGAGAAUGUUCCACAGUUGAAGAUGUUAAAGCAAGCGUCACAUAUGAUGAGGUAUACUCACUUAUAACUAUUGGUGUACUUUUGAGAGAAAAAGGCUGCUGUAGACAACACGAGUUUCAUUUUCAGUAAAUAUGUUCGAUGGUGUGUCAAUGUUCGAUUGUGCCAUGUGGCGUUUGCAUGACGUUGAGAUACUGCCAAACUAGCCGUGUGAAAAUUUCACUUAUUUGUAGUACUUCAUCGUCGAGGGAUAGCAGCACGGGCUGGAAGUGUUUGCGGAGCCAAAUAUUGUCACAUGUUCAUAUCUCGGCCCUCUGUCCUGAUGUUCUUGUUUGUUUAUUCGCGGAUUCAAAAUGCUUGCUUGUAUUCACUCACUCAGUUAUGACAUUAUUCGUUUACUUGUAUCUACACACUCGAUUGUAUCGUUAUUCUUAAGAUAUUCGAUUACAAGUCGUAUAUUCUGUGCUAACUACCAAGUGAAAAAGUUGUGUCGGACUUCUUAUAUUAUGCAGCACAAAACGCGUUUCGUCGCUAAAGCUUACCACUGCGUACUCAGCAUUGUUGACGAGCCCUUUGAUUUUUGAGUCAUUUGGAAUUCGCACUCACGAACGCCAGAUGUGAACGGCUGGAUGAGAAUAUUCUUCCUGGCCUUGAACGCCGCCUGGCCUGUGAGGUGCCAGGAUUUGAAUGACGUUCCCACGGCGUCAUGCAUGCCUGAAUGACCUUGAAAUAGUCUACACAUCUUCGCGGGCGUGGAGCUCUGAAAUUAAAGGGUUUUAGGUCUUAACGAGGUCAGGGUUAUGAACUUCACCAAGUGAUCUGCAAUUUGGCUAUGUCAGCUCAAACCCCCACGCAAAUGUGGAACACUCCCCUUAAAUUCGCACCAAAUGAGCCGCAAGUAUAGAUAGCCGUGUUUUUGUUGAAACACGUGCCCUGUUUACCAUGUUAUGAAGGCCAUUUUUUCAAGAGCUGGUUAUUCGCUAUACGUUACAUCGGAAUCCAACCAUCGGAAUCAAUUCCGUUUUUGAUCCAUACCUGGUUGAGUCGAAUCCUAUUCGCCUCAAACUUGCACUGCGCUGCCCAAAGUCAGAGCGAGAACCAACACCAUGCGUUGUGGGUGUCGUGGGCCACAGUCGGCAUCGAUCCUGCUGAAAAUGUGUCAAGCACAAUGCUGAUGUAAGAAAACUGCCAUCGUCGUAUAGGUGUUGCAUCAACUGGACCGUGCUGAUGAUUCGAAUUACUGAUUUGGUGUGGGCUUCUCAAGUUGACUGCAUGAAACGUUUCCAGGCAACGCCAUGUACCAACUUUGAACAGCUGCCGACGAAGACGCAAGACCUCAUCCUACAAUACCUCAGGCCCUCACAGUUGUUGGCGAUCCGCGGAGUGUCGCGUGGCUGGCGCCAGGCAGUGGGCGACAGCCUUGAGCGCCGCCAC
rnacentral:misc_RNA from 1 species